UGGGGAAUCUUAGACAAUGGGCGCAAGCCUGAUCUAGCCAUGCCGCGUGGGUGAUGAAGGCCUUAGGGUCGUAAAGCCCUUUCGCCGGGGAAGAUAAUGACGGUACCCGGUAAAGAAACCCCGGCUAACUCCGUGCCAGCAGCCGCGGUAAUACGGAGGGGGUUAGCGUUGUUCGGAAUGACUGGGCGUAAAGCGCGCGUAGGCGGAUCAUCAAGUCGGGGGUGAAAUCCCGGGGCUCAACCCCGGAAUGGCCUUCGAGACUGGUGGUCUUGAGUUCGAGAGAGGUGAGUGGAAUUCCGAGUGUAGAGGUGAAAUUCGUAGAUAUUCGGAGGAACACCAGUGGCGAAGGCGGCUCACUGGCUCGACACUGACGCUGAGGUGCGAAAGCGUGGGGAGCAAA
rnacentral:rRNA from 1 species